rnacentral:tRNA from 1 species
GGAGAAAUGGCAGAGUGGUCUAAUGCGGCGGUCUUGAAAACCGUUGUCCUGGCGACGGGACCGGGGGUUCGAAUCCCUCUUUCUCCG